GAUGAACGCUGGCGGCGUGCCUAAUACAUGCAAGUCGAGCGAACGGACGAGAAUCUUGCUUCUCUGAUGUUAGCGGCGGACGUGUGAGUAACACGUGUAUAACCUACCUAUAAGACUGGUAUAACUUCGGGAAACCGGAGCUAAUACCGUAUGAUAUUUUGAACCGCAUGGUUCAAAAGUGAAAUACGGUCUUUCUGUCACUUCUCGAUGGAUCCGCGCUGCAUUAGCUAGUUGGUAAGGUAACGGCUUACCAAGGCAACGAUGCAUAGCCGAACUGAGAGAGGGAUAGGCGACCUGGGAAGUGGAACGGGGUCAAGACGACUAAGGGACGGAGCAGACGGGAAUGUGACGCAAUGGGGGAAAGCAUGACGGAGCAAGGCCGAGUGAGUGAUGAAGGCGUUCGGAGCGUAAAAAUCGGUCAUGAGGGAAGAACAUAUGUGUAAGUAAAUGUGCACAUCGUGACGGUACCGAGUCAGAAAGCCACGGCUAACUACGUG
rnacentral:rRNA from 1 species